CCCCGGUUGGUGCAGUGGUUAGUACAUUGUCUUUGCCUACUGUCGCCCUCUGUGGUGCAGUCCCCGACUAACUCCUGCGGAAUGUCGCGGAGCGUCGAGGCAAAGACAAAGGUCACGAGUUCGAAUCUUGUACCGGGGA